CUUCAAUGGACCUAUCUUCAAAUUUGAUGAUUCUUCCUUCUGCCUGUUCGAAAAUGGUACACCCAUUGCAAUGCAACUUUGCAGAAAUCCCUUUCAAGAGAUCAAGUCUAUUUCCCACCCCUUGAAUCUGGACAGACUUUUGACUUACUUUGGCUAAUACGAUGCAGCAAAAGCAAUCCUGUGCCAGUUGAUCAAGAGGCCCAGCAGCUCCCACUGCCUUGGACCCCUGUCCUGCUGUCAUAUAAACAAAUAUGGGCUAGCCUGCUACAGGCUGAGAGACCAUGUGAAGCAGAACCAAGUUGUUCCAGUUGAAGCCAUCCAGAUCAUCCUAUAGCCAGCUGACCCCAAAACAUGUGACAGACCCCAGCCCAGAUCAGCAGAUCUGCCUAUCCAAUCUGCAGCUGACCUGAGACACAUGAGUGAGCCCAGCUAAGACUACAAGAACCAUCCAGCUGAUCUGAAAAUUCAUUAAUCAAAUCAAUGCUUAUUGUUGUUAGCUGUAUUGCUUUUCUAUUGCUUUGUAACAAAUUACCACAAAUUUAGUGGCUUAAAACAACACCCAUUUAUUAGCUCACAGUUCUGUAAGUUAGAAAUCUGGAUGGGUUCAGUGGGGUUAGAGUCUCCUUAGAGUCUCACAACCAGUAUUUAGCUUCACUGCUGAGCCAUGUAGUGUACUAUAUUAAUAUUUCCUUUCUUAUGCAACUUGGAGUUGAUAGCUGCUGGCUUUUUUUAUUCACUUAUUUUUAUUGAUACAUAAUAUUUGCAAUUUAUGGGGUACAUGUGAUAUUUUGAUUCCGGCACACAAGGUGUAAUAAUCAAGUCAGGGUGUUUAGAAUAUCCAUCACCUUGAACAUGUAUUAUUUCCUUGUGUUGGGAGCAUUUCAAAUCUAGCUAUUUUGACAUAUAUGGCUGUUAACUAUAGUCAUUCCACUGUGCUAUUGAAUACUAGAACAUAUUCCUUCUCUCUAACUGCAGGUUUGUACCCAUUAAUAAACCUUUCUUCAUCCUUCCACCCCCACUUUCCCAGCCUCUGGCAACUAAUAUAUACAUAAUAUCUAUCUAUUCCCUUGCUGGGUAGGGGAGGGACAGUUGCUGUGUGGGUUAGAAAAAUAGGCCAGGGAGCGGGUGGGAGAUCUCACAGCUCUUUCUACAAACUCUCGUCUAAAUCCAACAUCUAAAUCCAACACAUAAACACCCUAUUAUUUCUCUCAUAAAAGCAAAACAAAACCAAAUCCAAAAAGCCUCACUCCUACUCCACCUCCCGCCUUCUGAUCUCAUGUCUCCCUUCCAUUUGUAGCAAAACUUUUUGGAAGACCUUUCUUCUGUCCAAUAUGGCAGCCCCUAGCUACAUGUGGCUCUCGAGCACUUGCAGUGUAGCCAGCAAAAUCGAGGUGCAUUGUAAGGGUAAAAUAUACACCACAUUUCAAAGACAUCAUAUGAAAAACAAUGCAAACUAUCUCAUUAAUAAUUUUAUAUCAAUUACAUAUGGAA
rnacentral:lncRNA from 10 species